rnacentral:rRNA from 1 species
UACGGAGGGGACUAGCGUUGUUCGGAAUUACUGGGCGUAAAGCGCACGUAGGCGGAUUUGUAAGUCAGGGGUGAAAUCCCGAGGCUCAACCUCGGAACUGCCUUUGAUACUGCAAAUCUCGAGUCCGGAAGAGGUGAGUGGAAUUCCUAGUGUAGAGGUGAAAUUCGUAGAUAUUAGGAAGAACACCAGUGGCGAAGGCGGACUCACUGGCCGGUACUGACGCUGAGGUGCGAAAGCGUG